rnacentral:rRNA from 1 species
UACGUAGGGUGCAAGCGUUAAUCGGAAUUACUGGGCGUAAAGCGUGCGUAGGCGGCUAUGUAAGACAGAUGUGAAAUCCCUGGGCUUAACCUAGGAACUGCAUUUGUGACUGCAUUGCUAGAGUGUGGUAGAGGGAGAUGGAAUUCCAGGUGUAGCGGUGAAAUGCGUAGAUAUCUGGAGGAACACCGGUGGCGAAGGCGCUCUACUGGACCACAAACUGACACUCAGGGACGAAAGCUAGGGGAGCGAAUGGG